GUUUCUGUACCCUCACCACAGGUCUUACAUAUGGGAUCAAGAAGUAUAUCUCUACUUAUAAGAGAAUCUAGUACUAACUAUUGAUUCCUGUAUGCUCUAUAUAAAAAAUGCUUAACUUUCUCGACACACACUGUCUGGAAAUCCUGUUUCUUGCUUUUCCCAAUUACUGCGGCAGCCCAAGAUACUUGGAUUGAUCUUGAAUUGCUUUAACACCCAAACUGGUUUUUGAUCAAUUCUCUACAUACCGAUGAAGUACUACGACUAAAACAUAUUUCUAUUUCUCUA
rnacentral:lncRNA from 1 species